ACCACGUCCAGAUUGAUGCGAGGCACACGAGGAGCAGCCUAUGUGUGUCCGUCGAUUCAAUCCACCGGAGGUGCGGGAUCGAGGUAACUCGAUGGGCGGGCUGGGAUCGACCGGUGUGAGGCGCGCACAGGAGCAGCCGAUGUGCGUCGGACGAUUCGAUCCACCGGAGGUGAGGGUCGGAGGCAAGUCCAUGGGCGCGCUGGGAUGGACCGGAGGAGCGGGAUCCGGCUCCAGCCGACGGGCUCCAGCACGCGGUUGGAUGCGAGGUGCGCGAGGGAUCAGAGGAGGCGCGUGGGUGAAGAAAGGUGGGCGCGAGGGCGAUAAUGGCCGACGCCUCCUCUGCUAGAAACUGCUUCUUUCUCUCUUGAACCACACAAUCAUGGCAUUCAUGGCUGGAACAUUGCUAUGGUACGUCUGGUGGAUUGAUUUGGGCAGAUCCUAGAGCUUUGUGCUGUGGAUUUUCUUGCUCACCAGUUCAUAAUCUCAGAUGACUUUCGGACAGAUGGAACAUUCUUCAGAGCCCUCAUCUAUGACGUGCACUCAUGGAAACAAUUGCCUGUUUUUCCCCUCACAUUGUAAAAACGGUCAAGGUAGCUGGUUUGCACAACAAAGGUACAAUAAAUGGUUGUAUUCCCAUAGUGCAUACAUACUCGAUCAUUUGUGCUCCUUGACUUUUCAUUCUGAAAAUUAUUGCAGGUUUUCCUAUUUUUAUUAAUUUUAUUAUUUCUUUGAUACAUGCUCUUGCUAUAUCCGAAUGAUCUUACAGUUGGUGAACUAGGACAAAAUUCAUUCAUAGUAUGUUUCGACAUUUUGUUUCAGUUGCAGACCAAUAGUAGUCUUUACAAUCCUGAAAAUAAAAGGCCCGCGCAACAUAUUCUUAGAAAUAGUGAAGCACAAUGUGCUGAGUCAUUCCUGUGGAGCUGCCUUCUAAAAAUGCAUUAUUAGAAUCUGCCUUUAUUCCAUGAAGAAGCAUCAUUAUUUCAUCCAACUAGGCUAACGAAUAUUCAUGGUGUCCCUGAAAGUAGAGGAAGGGGUUAAUAGUGUAAAAGUACAUGACAAAUCUGAAAGUUGCAUAUGAGGAACUUAUGCUGACCUUCCAAAUUGUGCUGAAUGCAAAGAGAGCUUUGCAUUCUGACCUUCCAAAUUGUGCUGAAUGCUAACCUGACUUGCUGCUAUCAUGAGGAGAAAAGAUAAGUGGCAAGAACAAUGAACUCUGUGCUAACAGUUAGGAUUUGGAGCAUAAUUACAGCAGAGAUUAGCAAGGAUACCAUUAAAGAAGAUUGGAUAAAUCAAAAAAACAAAUCAAGCACAUCCCCUGUAGAACACUUACAAGCACUCGAUUUAGAGAAAAGGGAGAAAGAAAAUGACGUCUAAUAUAUCCUCUCGAGGGGACAUUGUUCCAGUGCACGCAAAUAACCCCGAGAGCGUAAAUAAUGUUUCAUCGGUGAGAAGCAUGGACCGGAAAAUGUUGGGAUUACAGGGAAAACAAAAGCAUUUCGUUGAUGAACCAACAAAUAAUUUUUACACAGGUGUUUCAGUGUAGCUAUAUGUAUUAGGAAAGAACAUUCUGAAAUUUGGAUGUGGACUACUAUGUACGGUUUCUGGGCAUGUCAAGUAUAGUCUAGCACGUGUUGGGUAGAAUUGUAAGUUAGAGAUUAAGUUAGAGAUUAUACAUUUAUUGUUUCAUAGGUCGCAGACUCACAGGUUUGGCAUUUUCAUACUGCUGCAAGUUCUACUAUUUUCGUACACCAUUAUCUAUGUACUAGAAUGAAAGUAAUACACGACCUCCGUUAUGAACAUACGUGCACAUCCGUGUCAAAUAUUGAUGAGUAUCUAAUAUUGAUGAUAUACAUGGUGCCCAUAAACUGUAGUACAUGCUUGCUGACGAGUAUUGAGUGCAAACAGAGCAUCUCAUUAUCUCAUACAGUCACAUAAACAUGUAGCUAGCUGAAUAUCCGUACAGAUAUGUGAAACUAUAGCCAAUAAAUAAUGUACCUAUAUAACUAUAUUAUGAUGAUUGUUUGGGACCUUUUCCUUUCCUGAAUAUGCAGGUUAUAGAAACUCAUUUUCUGAUAUCGUAAAUCUCAUCUUCAGGUUCAUUACAGGUGCCAAAUGGUUGCAACAAUCUCCAUUGUGGACAGUGCUUUGAAAAUGGUGAUAGAUUUCUCUAGGGCUAUAAACUGGAUGCACUGCAAUUUGAACUGUUCAAGCUUUGUUACAGUCAAUGUUGAUGCGGCCUAAUUUUAUCAAAUAUAGAGAUAGAUUUCAGAGCAUGAAUAUGCUUAUAUUUCCAGAAGGAAAAUUGCACCUAUUAGAAAUAUCAAGGUGCUUCAUGCUAUGUAGUAGUAUGAGAUAAAUCCCUGAUUUUGAAAACCCUUGAUGUACGAUCACGAGAUGUCAAGAUGUGUGGUGCUCUGGCAGGAAUUAGUUCAAAUAUCAUAUUAUCUCCUCUUUUUAUGAAGAUAUCUAAACAUGAAAGAACUUAGGACUUCUAUGAAAUUGUAAUCUGUUAACAUCGUCUCAUAUAUUUCAUGAAGGGUGUGGCAGUUCAUCAUCGUGAUGGAAGGGUGUGGCUGCCGAUGACAAAUUCUUGCUUACUACCGCACAACGUGCAAAUCAACUAAAACUAUCCAUAAUCUAUUUCAAAAAUAGACGGGCGCGACAACGCGCGCCAUCAUGAUCUAGUCUAUGAUGAUUAUUGUGAUGACUUAUAUGCUAUUAAGAAUAAUGAUAACCAUGAAACUUGUCAUCAUGAUUUUAGUUUUCAAUUGAAUUAUGCCUCACAUGAUAGUUAUUUUGUUAAG